UAAAGUCUAAAACUACUCCACCACCAUCUUCCUCUCCUCCUCCCAUCACCACCACCGUAAGCGCCAUGAGAACAACCGCCAGUUGGAGUAGUAGUAGUAGCAGUCUCAAUAAUGUCGCUCAAUCAAAACCAACGCCAACCAUUAAAGAUCACAAUGAAGAAGUCAAAUUCGUUCCAGUUUCACUGAUCAAAUCAGAAAUUAUACCACCAUCACCAAACAAUUCAACCCCAUCAACAGUUGAUAUCUUACUAGAUUUCUGUGGGUUUUCAUGGGUUUCUUAUGGAAUUUCAAAUCUCCUUAUAAUUUCUCAAUUUCCUUCUCCUUUUCAACAACAAGAAGAAGCCCUAAAAAGUCCAAUUUUUCGGCAAGUGGUUGAAUUAUCUUCUGAUGAUCAAUGUGAGAAUGUUGUAGGAGCUCUAGCUUGGUCUCCAUUGUCUGAUGGCGAGAUCUCUGUUGCUUUGGGCAAUUCCAUCUGUAUAUUAUCUCAUCAAGGUAGUUUUUGUUGGAGGCAGAGUGAGGUUCUUGUACAGUCGUCGAAGGUGGAAGCGAUUAAAUGGACAGGUUCUGGGGAUGGUAUAGUUGCGGUCGGGACUGAGGUGGUGUUAUGGAAGAGAAAGAGUAGAGCAUGGGAGAUAGCUUGGAAAUUCAGUGUAGAACAACCACAAAAUCUGGUUUCAGCGACUUGGACUGCGGAAGGGCACGUCGCGACUGCACAUUACACGAAUGAAUCAUCGUCGUCGCCUCUGAGUAGAUGUGUAUUGGUGAGUCAGAGUGAUAGGAGGAAUGGGGUGGUGAAAACUGAGUUACGACAUCCUCAGCCGGUUUCGAUGAUUCAGUGGAGGCCAUCGAGUGGGAUAGAUACACAUAGGGAUGUGCUUCUUACGUGUUGUUUAGAUGGAACUGUUAGGUUGUGGAGUGAUAUUGAUAAUAGGAGUGCGAAAAAAUCUGUAAGAGAUUUCAAUGAUCAGAGAACUGUGAGACCGUCUUUCCAUGUAACGGCUGUUAUUGAAAUAAACCAGUCUUUGAAGGGUAGUCUCGGAGUAGAUACGUUUGUUACAUGGGCAAGUGACAUUGGAGGUAUGUUUGAUACAGAUGGAGGAGUAGACACGAGUUUCUCAAGUGAUGCUUCUGAGUUUGACACAACUGUCAAGUGCGAGUGGUUAAUUGUGUUCGGAGCUCAGAUGUUGCUUACUUACUGGGCUGUGCACUGUCUCGAUGACGUUUCUCCUUUGAGAUUCCCAAGAGUGACUCUAUGGAGGAGACAAGAGUUACUAGGUUCUCAAGCUAGUAGUAGUAGUUUUCAGGGUUCUGGAAUAUCAAAUUAUUUGAUUAAAGCUUUUAUCUCGAGAAGUAAAUUAUUUGGUCCUCCAACCGUUUGCUCUUUGUUUCAGUUGUCAUCUGAUAAUUCCAUGAGAUGGUUACAGUUAGAUACGUCAGGAUCAAAUGAAAAUGAUGGGUCUUUGAGUUUAGAUGGUCAUGCCGGAAAUAUUUUACAGGUUGCAGUACAUCCUUGUAGUAGUGAUGUUGGAAUUGCUGCUUCCUUGGAUUCCAACGGUGUGCUACUCCUGUGGUCGCUCUCCAGUGUUUCAAGUUCUACUUUGGGCAUACCGACUCUGGUUCCUCCCACUUGGAAGAUAUUAAGUAAAAUUCUAGUCCGUAAUUUUUCGAGUACAUAUUCAAGCUUAUGGUGGGCUCCAUUAGCUCUGGAUGAGGCACGUGUUCUUCUUAUGAGCCAUAAUGAGGGAGUUGAUUGCUUCAUUGUUAAUAUCUAUGAACGUGCAGAACAUAAUCCGUCAUGUCACAAAUUGUGCACAAUCCCUUUCACUGGUCAUAGUCGUGCGGAUGGACAUGUCAAAAUCUUUGCAAAUCCGAUGAGUUCAACUAGUGAGAAAUCUCUACUUUCUGAUAGUUUCAUGUUGUUUGGGGUGUGGAUGAAUCCAUUUCUAGCUCUUUCAUGGAAAAUUGUGCUGCACUGUGAUAAUUCCGCAAGCAAUGGUGGUGAUUUAAAUGAGUUGGGAGAAGAUAUUUCAGAUAGUGGUACAUGGAGACGUGCAAGUACAUUUGCUGGCAAAAAAUAUGGCAUUGUUGUUGAUUCCUGCUCGUCAAACAUGCCAGAUCCUCAUUGCCAUGAUCGAGUUACCAGCUUUGCCAUUGUCAGCACGGUCAAUCUUUUGCCAUCUGACCAACUAAAUUUUAAUUUUAGUUGUAGUUCUCCUGCAUAUCACAUGGCUACUGGUUGCGCUGAUGGUAAUGUUAAACUUUGGAGAAGUAUCUCUUCAAAAUCAUCGACUUUAGUGCCGGAACUUAAAAACUUACCAUGGGGGCUUGUAGGUAUGUUUUCCACGCAUCAAGGCCCAGUUCAUUCACUAUCUUCGGGUGCUUCUGGUCAGAAGAUUGCAAGCAUAAGCAGGGUGGAUCAAUCAGAAAAUGUCAGCACACUGUGUAUAUGGGAACCCGUACGUACUAUAGGUGCAGGGCAUUUCUUCUUAGAAGAUAAAAUAUCUUUAGAUGAGAUAGUUGUCGCUUUGAAUUGGUUACUGGUUGGUGAUGGUCAGUUAUUACUUGGGGUGUGCACGAAAAACCAGCUUCGGGUAUUUGCUCAGAAUAAGUCUCAUCGCCAGGCUUUUGGAAAAGCAGGGGAGACAUUGGAGAGGAACAUCUGGAAUUGUAUUGCUCGUGCCCGUAUUUUCCCAGAUGCUAAUGACUUUAUUUGGGGACCUAAGGCGACUGCUGUGGUUGUUCACGAUAAGUACUUUUCACUCUUCAGUAAAUGUUUACCUGUGGAGAAAACACUGAAAAAUGAUCAGCAAAAAAUUGAUUCAGCUUGCGGAACUAAUGGUCGCAAUCUGCUAGAAGUGGCUGAUAAAUUAUCUAAAUCUUUGCCUAUAUAUCACCCUGAAGCUCUUCUACUGAAUCUAUAUACAGGGAAUUUGAAACGUGCAUUUGUAGCUGUGAGUCAUCUUGUAGGAUAUCUUAGUGCUGUUACCAAUGAGAGUGGAUAUAACUCCUCCAGACUUAGCCAUGUUGUUCCACAGAUCCCACUGUCAGAAUAUUUCGAAGAUUCUGUCUCCACUAGUAAUGCAAGUGAUAAGGGAUUACAAUGGGGUAUGAAUACUUCGUUUCAAAGUAGCUCAACCCAGAGCAUUGGAGGCUAUAGUUUAGACUCCAAUGCAUCUAGUAAUUUACUGGGUGGUACUUCCAGAAAAUCUGAAAUUACUGGAUUCAUUGAAAGUCUAGAGAAGAUCCCUGAGAUAGCAGCUAUCAUCAACAUGGAGAAAAGUGAGAUUUUGGCUAUAAUUGAUCUUCUUGGUGAAGUCAGUGAUCCAAGCCGUUCUUCUGCUUAUGCAAGUCUUGACGAACCUGCAAGAAGGUUCUGGGUUCCUGUGAGGUUUCAGCAACUAUGUUUCCUCCGGAGAUUAGGUAGACUGCCGUCUAUGGAUGAGUUAGUUAUAGACUCUGGGUUGAUUGCGUGGGCUUUCCAUUCUGAUUGUCAAGAAAGUCUAUUGAAUUCUGUUAUAUCCAAUGAACCAUCAUGGAUGGAUUUACGGAAAUUAGGUGCUGGCUUUUGGUUUUCUGAUGUAGCACAACUGCGAUCAAGGAUGGAAAAGCUUGCUAGAUUGCAAUUUCUGAAGAAGAGAGAUCCGAAGGAUUCUGCACUCCUAUACAUAGCACUAAAUAGAGUGCAAGUUUUGGCCGGACUAUUCAAAGUUAGCAAAGAUGAAAGGGAUAAACCCUUGGUUGCAUUUCUUUCACGCAAUUUCCAGGAGGAAAAACACAAGGCAGCUGCAUUGAAGAAUGCUUAUGUUCUGAUGGGAAAACAUCAGCUGGAGCUUGCAACUGCUUUUUUUCUGCUUGGCGGUGAUCCUAUUUCUGCCAUCUCCAUCUGUGCUAAGACCCUUGGGGACGAGCAGCUUGCACUUGUAAUAUGUCGUCUUCUGGAGGGGUACGGCGGGGCCCUAGAGCAGCAUCUUAUAUCGAAGAUUCUGCUUCCAGAUGCAACUGAGAAAGGAGACUACUGGUUAGCAAGCAUUCUUGAGUGGACUUCAGGGAAUUACUCGCAAUGCUUUCUGAAGUUUCUUGACCUCCAAAGUGAUUCAUUGGCCGACCAGUCAAUUCUCCCAUCAAACGGAGCUGCUUUCUUAGACCCUAAAGUUGGUCAAUACUGCCAAAUGCUAACUACGAAAAAUAGCAUGAAGAAUUUUGUUGGGGAAUCAUCAGCUGCACUACUGUCUCGGUGGGCUACAUUAAUGACCUCAACUGCCUUAAACAGAUGCGGACUUCCUCUUGACGCACUGGAGUGCCUUUCAUCGUCUUCAUAUAUUUCCGAGGAUGUGUAUCAAGGAAGCAACUCAGACAUUGAGAAGCCUGGAAUUCUUCCUGGAGUAUUGAAGACACCCUCAAAUGAUUCCUCUAACUGGCUGUCAGCAGACGUGGCUUUGAAUUUAGAGUCUAACAUUAAGUUGGAUAUGGCUGUGCAAUAUAUCUCAAAAUUGAUGAUGGAGCAUCCUAGCUGGCAAAGCACCGUUUUAACGAGCAGUGAGUGUGAGACUUACAAAUCUGAGUUGUCAGUUGAGAAAUUCCAGCACAACCUGAACCUGAUACUCGCAACUUUCGAACGCAAGUUUCUGUUGAAUCCCGCCGAUCUGAUUAACAUGAUCUUGAUCUAUUCGUGCAAUGAUGGGUUGUCAUUUAUCGGGCACUGUAUGUUACACAACCAUAUAUCUCAACAAGAACCUCAGAUCGAUAGUGAAGGCCGUUUCCUUCUUCACCCUCCUCUUCCUCAGAUGUUUAUCAAGGCAACUGAAGAUGUAUCUCAUUUAUACACCCUGUAUAUCAUGCGAUGCAGUAUUACUUCCUUUCCUCUGAAUCCAAGUUCCUCACAGCUCGAUAGGCUCAGCACUUGUAUCUCUAGUGAGUUACAUGGUUGGGAUACUGAUAUGCAACGCCUCCUACACCCCCUAAGGAAUUUAAGAAAGAUUAUGAAACUUUAUUCUUCUAGUUUCGGUCCAGAAAAUCUUAAAACCUUUGCACCCAUUGAUCUUCUAGAAUAUUAUGUGCUUUUUGCUUCAGCGUGGCUUCAAAGAAAUUUGAAAUAUCUCAUUCUGAUUGUUUAUCCUAUACUGGUGGCAUAUUCUGAUGGCCACACUCCAGAAAUUGAUGUGGCUAGUCUGAGAAAGAUCCUCCGACAAAGGGUAGAGAUAAUGACUCGUGAUUCAGAAAAAAGGGUAGAAGAUCCUGAGAGACAGAUACUGAAACAUGAACAAGCGGGACAGGCAAUAUUUCCUCUACCAGAAGAUGAAAGAUGGAAGAUUAUCGGGGCUUGUCUGUGGAGACUUUUGGCCAAGUUCACCAACGAUCAGCUAAAAUCAAUAUUCAAUGGUGUGGAAGAUGGUAAUCCUCCCAUUGGAGUUUCGUUGUCAACAUCUAGCCGUGGAAGUACUGAAUCUGAUGGGAGAAACACGUCGGAACAGAUCAAAAAUGUCCCAUUAUUUUUGUCUAGAUUAGUGAAGAGAACGGUUGCACGUGUUUCCUCAUCUCAUAUUAAACAGCUUGCAUCACUCUUAAGACAAAAGGUACAAAAAGGUAUGCCCAUACCAACUGUUUUGUGGUUAGAGCAACCGAAUCAAUCUGCACCUGGACCCUUGAUCAAUCAUCUCAAUCAGGGAAAUGAUAUCUUGCAACUACUUAAUAAAGAAGAUGGAGCUUCGUUGAUUGAAAUUUUAUGGCAAUUCUCUGCUAGCCCUAAAGAGAUACGUGAAGGUUUAGAACAAGAGAAAAUAUGGUGGUUGCAAUCUAUUAGCCAGAAUUCCUCUAAAGGUUGGAGUGAUAUAGAUAAAGGCAGCGGCAGUGAGAUCGAAAAUAGUGAAACUUCGAAGAACGAUCAAGAAGUUAGCAGUAAUACUGCGAAUGGUACCCAUGGGUCACAAGAAAAUCUUACUUUACACGAUUCCAGACGUAAAGAUUCCGCUCCUAUUAAGGAGGUCACAAAGUUUCUGAAACCAAUGGAGAUUUAUAAGAAAAAUGGGCAGCUUCUAGAGGCAAUGUGCAUAAACUCUAUUGAUCGACAGCAAAUUGCAGUAGCUAGCAACCGAAAGGGAAUAAUUUUUCUCAACUCGAGAGACGAACAAUCCAGAGAUCUGGCAGACUAUAUCUGGUCAGAGUCUGACUGGCCUAAGAAUGGGUGGGCUGGGACCGAAUGUACACCAGUUCCAACAUUUGUUUCUCCCGGCAUCGGACUUGGUAGUAGUGAAAAGGGAAAACAUCUUGGCUUGGGCGGAGCAACUGUCGGCUUAGGUUCAUUGGCAAGACCAGGGAGAGAUAUGACUGGUGGUGGAGCAUUUGGAAUUCCAGGUUAUGCUGGUAUGGGUGCUUCUGGAUUAGGUUGGGGUACACAACAAGAGUUUGAGGAGUUUGCCGACCCACCGGCAACAGUUGGAAACAUUAGCUCGCGGGCUCUUUCUAGUCACCCUUCAAGACCAUUAUUCUUGGCCGGAUCCAGCAACACACAUAUCUAUCUUUGGGAGUUUGGCAAAGAGAGAGCUAGUGCAACCUAUGGUGUUCUGCCUGCUGCAAAUGUACCACCACCAUAUGCACUUGCCUCAAUAUCAUCGUUGAAGUUUGACCACUAUGGACAUAGAUUUGUUACUGCUGCUUUUGAUGGCACCGUAUGCACGUGGCAACUUGAGGUUGGGGGAAGGAGUAAUAUCUGCCCUACAGAAUCAUCUAUCUGCUUUAACAAUUAUGCAUCGGAUGUCACGUAUGUGGCUGGGAGUGGAUCAGUCAUUGCUGCAGCAGGGCAUAGUUCGACUGGUGCUAACGUAGUUAUAUGGGACACAUUGGCUCCACCUUCCACCUCUCAAGCUUCGCUUGUAUGUCAUGAAGGUGGUGCAUGUUCGAUCUCUGUGUUUGACAAUGACAUCGGAAGUGGUUCUAUAUCUCCAAUUAUCGUAACUGGUGGAAAAAAUGGUGACAUUGGUCUGCAUGACUUCCGUUUCAUUGCAACUGGAAAGGCGAGGCAGAGAAAUUCAAACGUUGCUGAAUCCCCGACACACCACACAAGAUUAGUGACUUCAAACCAAGUUGGGGAACAUAAUAAUGGAAUGCUUUGGUAUAUACCCAAGGCUCACCUAGGAACUAUUACCAGGGUAGCUACCAUCCCGCAUACCAGCUUGUUCUUAACAGGAAGCAAAGAUGGUGAUGUUAAACUCUGGGAUGCGAAACGGUCUGAGCUAGUUUUCCACUGGCCAAAAUUGCAUGAGAAACACACAUUUUUACAACCGAGCUCCAGGGGAUUUGGUGGAGUUGUUCAGGAUGCUGUCACUGAUAUCCAAGUCCUUCCUCAUGGGUUUCUGACAUGUGGCGGGGAUGGCACCGUAAAGCUUAUCCAACUCAAAGACAUGCAAUACAGAACGUGAAGAAGGAUAGAUAUGAGACGAUCUUAAUUCAUUAGUUACUUUUAUGGAGGUACCUAAGAAGCCCACAACUCCAGAGCUGUGUGAUUUUGUUAUUAGAUACAGCUGCAGACUGCUUAAUUGGCAAAAUUUUUGGAUUGUCAGGUACAGGAGAUCAGGGUAGGGAUGUUCAUUCCUGGAAUACUUUGUUCUCUGCAAGUUAUAGUUGCUUCAUCGGCCAACAUAAUGCGGUGUGCUAGUCUCUGGAGAUGCAUUCUCCCUAGAUCAGCACAAUUCUACCUUGUACAGUAUAUACUUGUGCAAUCCCUGGUAAACGAAAACCUAGUCUUCAACACUGUUUGUUUUUGCUGCUCCAUCAUUGGAAACCACUUUGAGAGAAAAACCUUGAAGGUGGCCAACUCCCUGCUAACAUUUUCUUCAACAACCAACUUAUACCAGUUUCUUCCUUAAACCUAGUCUAGCAUUUCCAUUCAGUAGAAAACUCACAGAGAUUUAGCUCAGAAGUUGCGCCAACAUUUGUCUACUACACCAACCCCUCCUGUUCUGCUGAGAUUAUUUCAUUUUCUGGUUCUGUAUCAUAUUUUGAGAUGUAAAUUCAAUUCUUGCACGUCUCUUAUCAUACUUGCCAGUUUUUGUAAAUUCAAUUUAUUCGUCGUUUGUAUUAAUCAUCUACUACUAUGAUUUGUAACAAAGUUCAUAUAGCUCCAUAAAUUUUAGGCUCACUCUUCACUGC